GCCCCUCAUUAUAUUCCUUAUUGAUUCUUUCAAUCUUGAGACGAACAAACUUGUCUCCUUUGUUAAAGUUUUCUAUAUUACCAAGCCAAGCAGAAUGAUAUAUUCUUGAUUUGGAAUUUUAAGAUGACUUUCAGUAUACACUCCGUGCUUGUGAAAUGUUAGGGCAUCCUCCUAGAAUAUGCUAUCGUAUUUAUUGUAGCCUUGCACUCUUGGCAAUAAUACAGCUCUA
rnacentral:lncRNA from 1 species